UGCAAAAGCAAAAUAUUAUUGCCACCACUAAUCAAAUUUAGGCAAACCUUUCAUCUUCCAAUUAGAUCAAACCAAAUGUUAGAUAAGGCUAAUGAAUUGUAACAUCUAUGUCCAACAAACUUCAUUGCUAUGGGCAUUCGGUGAUAGGAACUACACUUUCUUUCAAGGCUGUAUAACUUCAAAUUAAAUAAACAAAAAGUUAGAACGAGGCGAAUUAAGGAUCAUGCAUACGAAAAGUGUAUCGUACAUUCGUACUCCUAUAAUAAUUACUGAAUUAUACAUCCGAGAGUAUCGUCCAAAUAGUACUCCCCAAGAAAAACACAGCAAAUACAAAACAAAGCGUGCACGACAUAAAUACGCUAGAUAACAUAAAAUAACAUGUGAAACGACAGACGUAACAUACAAAAUUAUUUUUUAAAAAAAAAAAGAAUAACAUAGCAUAACUGCCAAAAUUAUAAGCAUAAGUAGCCUUAAAAUGAAGAAAAUUUACAGCAACGCUUCAUUUUCAUUUUGAAACUCUCUCCUAUCCACUUUCUCACUUCACAACUAUCACAAAUCGCCAUUUUAAAGACUUUAAAGUUUUCUCUCUCCUCUUCAUUUACAUUUCUUAAAACUCUCCUCCCCCAUUUACGUUUCUCCCCGCAAUUUUGAAGAUUUCUGAAGUAAAAUGGAAGAAAAACAGUCUGAAAAACAUCUAGAAAACAAGAAAUUCAAAAAUAUAAGUGGCACCUUUGAUACGGGCCUGGGCCGCGCCAAUCAUGAAGAAAGAGAGCCAACUUAACAAGUUCAAAUGAGGUUCCACCUUAAAAUCAUAUGACAAUAAGGGGAGUAUCCUCUUAUCCUUAUUAAGUGAUUAACUCUCACCUCUUUUCUCAAUGUGGGACACUCACGUGUAUUAUUUGUGAAGGCUUGCUUCAACACGGUCUGUUGACUUCCUGUGUAGGCAAAUAUGAAGUUCACAUAAUUGAAUGUCCUUCAAACAAAAUUCUUGAUAUUGUUGAUAAACUAGAACAAGAUUAGUACACAUACUGACUUCAUUGUGAAGACUUGUUUCUUACCUAUUAUGAGUCUUACUAAUAUACAUGUA